UACGUAGGGUGCAAGCGUUGUCCGGAAUUAUUGGGCGUAAAGAGCUCGUAGGCGGUCUGUCGCGUCGGACGUGAAAAUCCAGGGCUCAACCCUGGACCUGCGUUCGAUACGGGCAGACUAGAGUUCGGUAGGGGAGACUGGAAUUCCUGGUGUAGCGGUGAAAUGCGCAGAUAUCAGGAGGAACACCGGUGGCGAAGGCGGGUCUCUGGGCCGAAACUGACGCUGAGGAGCGAAAGCGUGGGGAGCAAACAGGAUUAGAUACCCUGGUAGUCCACGCCGUAAACGUUGGGCGCUAGGUGUGGGGAACCUUCCACGUUCUCCGUGCCGCAGCUAACGCAUUAAGCGCCCCGCCUGGGGAGUACGGCCGCAAGGCUAAA
rnacentral:rRNA from 1 species